CCGACAAGGAACAUGCCUGUUUUCUCCUUCUGAGUUUGGAACUAACUGAGAAAUAAGACCAGGAGGCAGACCACCGGAGAUCAAAAUAUCAGCUGUAUUGAUAGAUAAAGCUGACCUGAGCAGUGUGGCUUGACUUGUAGCCAAAUGGGUUCCUGAAAACGCCCCUCCUGAUCCUUGCUAACCCUGCAAAGCCGGCUUGGCCACACUCGCCACACGGCCAACCAACAUGCAACUGUCCUGUGGACAGCUGGCUCUAAAAGGACACACAGAGAAAAGGCAGGGGCACAUUCAUCAGUCGGUAGCACAGAGUCACUAUCAUUGGCUGUUGAAAAACGUAUCCAAUCUUCUUCUCCCCCACCAAACAAGAGCAUUUGGAAUGAACACUUCAUAGGACGUACUGGCUCUUUACCACCUUCACCCUUGUACCUGGACUCACAAGUCCUCCUGGAUUCUCAGAGGUCCACAGUCUCUGCCAGAAACUCUGGAACGUGGGUACCACUUGAAACAGGCAAAGCGUGGUAAGUACUGCCGUCUUUCUAUGUAUAGUUAUAAUGCUUAGACAUGCUGCCCC